GUAAAGCGUGCGCAGGUGGUUUUGUAAGUCUGUCGUGAAAGCCCCGGGCUCAACCUGGGAAUUGCGAUGGAGACUGCAAGGCUUGAAUCUGGCAGAGGGGGGUAGAAUUCCACGUGUAGCAGUGAAAUGCGUAGAGAUGUGGAGGAACACCGAUGGCGAAGGCAGCCCCCUGGGUCAAGAUUGACGCUCAUGCACGAAAGCGUGGGGAGCAAACAGGAUUAGAUACCCUGGUAGUCCACGCCCUAAACGAUGUCUACUAGUUGUCGGGUUUUAAUUAACUUGGUAACGCAGCUAACGCGUGAAGUAGACCGCCUGGGGAGUACGGUCGCAAGAUUAAAACUCAAAGGAAUUGACGGGGACCCGCACAAGCGGUGGAUGAUGUGGAUUAAUUCGAUGCAACGCGAAAAACCUUACCUACCCUUGACAUGUCAGGAACCUCCGAGAGAUUGGAGGGUGCCCGAAAGGGAACCUGAACACAGGUGCUGCAUGGCUGUCGUCAGCUCGUGUCGUGAGAUGUUGGGUUAAGUCCCGCAACGAGCGCAACCCUUGUCAUUAGUUGCUACGAAAGGGCACUCUAAUGAGACUGCCGGUGACAAACCGGAGGAAGGUGGGGAUGACGUCAAGUCCUCAUGGCCCUUAUGGGUAGGGCUUCACACGUCAUACAAUGGUACAUACAGAGGGCCGCCAACCCGCGAGGGGGAGCUAAUCCCAGAAAGUGUAUCGUAGUCCGGAUCGCAGUCUGCAACUCGACUGCGUGAAGUUGGAAUCGCUAG
rnacentral:rRNA from 1 species